rnacentral:rRNA from 1 species
GCGUUAUCCGGAUUCACUGGGUUUAAAGGGUGCGUAGGUGGUCAAGUAAGUCAGUGGUGAAAUCUCCGGGCUUAACCCGGAAACUGCCAUUGAUACUAUUUGUCUUGAAUACUGUGGAGGUCAGCGGAAUAUGUCAUGUAGCGGUGAAAUGCUUAGAUAUGACAUAGAACACCAAUUGCGAAGGCAGCUUGCUACACAAUUAUUGACACUGAGGCUCGAAAGCGUGGGGAUCAAACAGG